rnacentral:rRNA from 1 species
CAUUAUCCGUAGAUGCUGCCGGAGAGGGGGGUCGAAUCCCCUUUCCCAGUGCGCUACAAGAAACCCAAAACCGUGUACCUGACCAUGUUGCUUCCCCGGACCCCCAGGGCGACCUGCGGUGGACCGGGAGAAGGGCCGGAAUGCAUUUCCUGGAAACCCCCCAACCAGCCUGUGGAUGAGACGUCUGACGCUGGCCUUCGCGCCACCGGUUUUGUUUUAACAUACUUAAAACUUUCAACAACGGAUCUCUUGGUUCUCGCAUCGAUGAAGAACGCAGCGAAAUGCGAUAAGUAAUGUGAAUUGCAGAAUUCAGUGAAUCAUCGAAUCUUUGAACGCACAUUGCGCCCCAGGGCAUUCCUUGGGGCAUGCCUGCUCGAGCGUCACGUAAAAACCCCCUCACAAGCAUUUGUGGUGCUGGCGGAUGUGGCCACCCCCAGUUUUGGGGGUACCCACACCGCUGAAAUGGAUCAGGCGGACGCAGCCCCCUCUCGCCAACUGGCUUAGUAAAAUCGACGUGAAGUCAACCAGCCAGGAGGGAGGGAGACGUCUUGCCCACAGUAAAGGACCCCGCAUCCACGGAGGUGAGAAGCCUUGGGUUGACCUCGGAUCAGGUAGGGAUACCCGCUGAACUUAAGCAUAUCAAUAAGCGGAGGAAAAGAAACCAACAGG